UACAGCCAAGGAGGGGCCCCCAUGGAAGGCAGUGGGAGCCAAGGGGAAGCGUCUCUGACUCAGCCUUCAUCGGGGGCCAGAGAAUGGAAUAAGAGGACAAGGAGAGAGAAGGUGACCGAGAGAGUGCGCACAGACAGACCUUUGGUGUGGCAGGAUCCGGGAAGCAGAGCCACUCUCCUGGAUGUUGCUCCGGCCACUCGUGGCUUCCCCGUCAGACCUCCGGGGCAGCACGGACCCAGGCUGCCGGACACCCGGGUGAUCAACACCCUGGUCUCCAUGCUGCAGUCAGCUCUGGCUCAUCUAAGUGAACCGACAGGAAAUCAAGGCGCUGGAGAAGCCAAAGGCAGCUCUCCUCACUUCUAGCACCGCGUAUUCUCACUGCGGUCACUUGCUGCCCAGACUAGCAUUCAAAGCAUCUUUAUGGAAAUUGUCUGAUGUGACUUCUAACUACGACCCUGUGCGGCAGGCAGGGCAGGCGUAUUUAUGGGCAUUUAGCUGCCAGAGAAACAUACCUGCUCAGAGGUGCCUGUUUUAGAACCACAUGGACAGAAGAUCGCAGAGCUGAUAUCAGAGCCCAGGGCUCUUGACUCCAAGCUUCUCCGCUGGGGUGCCCAGGAAAAAGAUCAAAGACCGUGAUAUCCUCCCCAGAAGAUGCUGCCUCUUACCACUGGUGUGGAGGGUGUGGGGUUCCCAACACGUGUGAACUGGGGAUCAAGUGGCUGAAGCUGGUGAUGUGUGGUGAUUUCUGUGCUGGGGAGGGAGGGCGCUAUCUCCCCCCCAGAAAACUUCCUGUCCUGGAGACAGUUAAGAAAAUUGGGAGCCUUAAAGGAAAUAAAGCUGGCUGUCGUUAGAACGAAAUGACACUUAACCGAUGUCUGGGCGCCUGCUCUGUGUCAGGCAGGGCGCUCUGUGCUGCAAAGAAAGGCGUGAGCGGACAGACUAGGAUCUGGCCUCGCUUUGGGGCAAACCACGGACUCUGUCUGGGCUUCGGUCCCCCCUAAUCUAGCAGAAGAGACUGGACCAAGCGCUCCUUCGAGGCCACGCUCUGAUGCGGCUCUCAACGCCGUGACCAACCCACUGUGCGAGCCUCUGCAAAACGCCUGCCAGAUACCUCCCCUGGAGCCCGGGCCCACACCCUGCCUUUCCGGGCGACCGCCCGCCUGCCUGGGGUCCCGGAGGCCGAGGAAACGCGGAAGGAGCUCCCCCGGACGCCGCCAAGCUCCGACCGGACCGCGAUGGCGAGCGGUAACGGCCACCGCUCGGAACUCGGCGCACGGACCCGGCUCCCGCCCAACUACAAUUCCCAGAGGCUUCUGCGGCGAGCCGGUCACCAUGGAGACCAGCCGGGCUCGUCGGCUCUGCAACGGUCGGUGGCCUGGGCCUGCGAGGAGCUGUGCGCGGAACAGUUCCCAAAGCUUUCAGACGGGCCGGUCACGUGCCCCCACCACCCAGGCCUUGGUUCUGCGGCCCGAGGAGACGGAGUCCUUACACCGAACCAAGGCCAUGGGAGGACGGAACUACAUUUCCCAGAAGGCCGCAGGCGCACUCCGCUUCCGGUCGCUCGGCACUGAAAAGGUAACACCGAGCUGUUGCCAAAGGAGUCAAGUCCUGGGUAUUUGGGCUCCUGAAGCCCGUGAACAGAGGAGCGGGAGACAGAGAAGAUGGACAGAGGAGGAAAGGAUAAUGGGGAAUUUGGUUACAAAGCAACAUUAAAGAUCGCAUCCCCUCCUGUUUACCUUUUCCACGACGCUCAGGGCCAGCGUGGGCAUCGCACAGCUCUCUGGGAAAUGCAGGGGACGCUGCCCUAAGGCCUAUGGGAAAUGUAGUCACUGAUUAACUCACUUCGUUGAGCACCUGCAAUAAACCGGGCACGCUGAAAAUAGGGGGUUAAACUCGCCUUCUUCCUUCUUGUCCACUCAAACACAAAUUUUACUUCCUAAAUACUUACGGAACCUGUCCCAUUUUCUUCAUGCCAGUCGCCGAUGCUGUGUUUCAGACACUCUGGAUUUUCUUGUCAACCUGCUCUCAGGCAUGUUCCCCUUAAGUCGUCUCUCCACGGGGCCACCAAAGUAAUCAUUCCUGCUCUGCUUAGGGCAUUUCAGCGGCUAAUAGACUCACGUCCACGUUCCUUGCUGGUAUAUAUUUGACCUUACUCUCUCGUGCUAGUCUUUUCAUACGUAAGAACCAUUCUUUUUAGAGUCAUCUCGUUUGCGAUUGAUACCUUAAAACUAUUGUCACCAUUUUAAAAAAAUGCAAAGCACAACUUCCUGCUUUGAACAGUUGCACCGCCAAAAAGGAUGAUCAAUUCCCAGUGUCGUUGUAUUUGCAAAAUAUCCUUGAAAAGUACUUGAAGUAGGUUCCUGUAAGUAGAAACCAAGUCAUUCAUACUCUGACAAAAUUAGAAUUCCUCUGAACAAAAUAUUUCGUUGCGUCACAUGGGUAACACACCUAGGUGUUUUCCAGGCCUUGUAAAGUCACACAAAAGAGAAAAGGAUGGUUCUUGUAUAAAGUACUUAUCACAAAACUCCAGUUAGACAAUAAUGUAAAAUAGAGAAGUUAUUUUGCAUAGCACUUUGAAUGUCUAAGAUCUAAAAUUACGCCCCAUCCGAAGAGCUGCUUCAGUGUGGGGUAAAUCUGCACUGAGGCUUUCGAGAAAGGAGGCAUACUUUUAAAAGCUAUCAGAAUGCUUAGAUAGGAAUGAACUGCAGAAAGAUAGAGGAGGUGUUGCUCACAUCAAAGCACUAUGAACUUUCCUUUUGAAGUGGGAAUACUUGGCAGACAUAGCAUUUCCAUUGGCUUUUAACUUUGGUAGGAAGAAUGGCCAGUAUCAUAAAUGUAGAGAAUUAUUUAACUGAUAAAGCAGUUUCAAAGUCACAUUAAAAAUGUGUAAUCUGUUCUUAACAUUCAAAAGCAGAGUUUCCUCCUUCCUCACUAAUUUAAUCUCUUUGGGUUUGGUUUUUAAAAAUGGGGAUCCUUCAUUUGUUGAAGGAAAGAAUACAUUUGUUGAGAAAGUAUCAGCCAAGGCCAGGAUAUUCUCAACCAUCAGGUGGGGAAGGCUGAGGUCAAGAUCUAGAAGAGUCAUAGUUCAGAGUAAUUUUCUUGAGUGGUGCAGUUACUUUUUUAAUUGGUAUUUUAAAAAACUCUCAUAGGUCUUCAGUUACUAGCAAAUCUCUGCUCUUUGCUAUAACAAUUUAGCUACCCUUGUGGUAUAUGGGUCUUCUGGUGUUCCACAAAAAGUGUAAUGAUCCCCAGGAGCUUCCCUGAGCAAUCUGGAGCUGUGGACGUUCAAGUUGUGAUGUUAAGUGACUAAUUCGUGGUUUUCUUUACAAGUUUCAGUAAUACUCCCUGAUUUGAUUGGUUUCAGAAAAUAUGAUGAUGCUAGUUCUAUCUGCAACAUAUGUGGAAACCAUUUUCUGGGUGGCUCGGCUUCAAGAAUGGCUCUUUGCCCGUUGCUGUCCUUGUUGCUUUACUAGGGGUUCAGUCUCAGGGGUGACGUUCUCGGCCAUGUUCAUCUGUGGACUCAUUUUCCUGCCCAGUUACCCCAGGACAGGGGAAAGAACAGGGGCAUGGGGGGCCAGUUUGGUCCCUGUCCCUAACUUGCUGGGUCAUCUCAGACUGAUCAUUUGUCAUCUCCCCUAACUCCCCCUUCCCCCGAGCCUGCUCCUCUUCCAUUAGCGCCUCAGGUACCAUUCACUGAGGCUGAAUUCCAGCCCCCAAAGAUCUCAGGACCCAACCUCUGGAACAUGUGAGUGUUGUUUCUUUAGUUGGAAAAAGGGUCUUUGCUGAUGUGAUUAAGUUAAGGAUCUUUAGAUGGGGAGAUUAUCCAGUUGGGCCCUUAAUGCAAUUAUAAGUGUCCUUACAACGGAGAGUCGAGGGCGGUUUGAGUCAGAUACACAACGUGAAGAUGGAGCAGAGAAAGAUCUGAGGAUGCUGGCCUUAAAGACUGGGGCGAUGCGGCCACAAACCAAGGAAUGGUAGCAGUCACUUCUACACGUGUCCUUCCCAUCCAGCUCUCACGCUGCCAUCAGAGUUUAUUUCUAAAGUGGAGACCUGACCACAUUAACCGGCAGGGAUGAUUCUUCAGUGGCAACUCAGACCCUAACUCCUUGGCCUGGUCUGAGAGGCCCUUCACCAACUGACCACUCAUCUUCUCUCUGCCACCCACACCUCCCGCCACUCAGAGACACCCAUCCCCACUCCCUCCCCCCCGUCACCCUCCCCGCCAUGUCACUCAGUCCCACACGGACUGCACACACAUUCACUGGAGUCAUGCUGAACUACUGAGUUUCCCCUGUGACCAGGCUCUUCCAUGCUUCUGCGGCUCUCAUGUGCAUUGUCCCAUCUGUGAUACAAAGAAAGUAAUCUCACCAUACGCUAGCACACGCAUGGCAAAAAUCACAUUGUGCAGUUAGAAAAUGGUAUGAAAUGAGAAAUCAGACCUAGGAUGCCAAGACCAGCAACUUUACCCUUCCCUCGAAAGGGCUGAUGGUUGAAACCACCUUCCUAAGAUUUCACAUUCAAUCAUAUUUAUAUCCCAAAUCAUGCAUUUCAGUAUUGUUAAAAAUGUCCAUCAAUAAAAAGGUAAUAUUUCAACAUGAA